UGUCGUCGGAAGAGAGGCUCGACGCUCAGAAACCAGAGUUCCGAGUCCGACUGCCAAAACUCCGGUAGCUUGAGAGUAGCGACGACAGUUUGUUGCGAUGGCAUU
rnacentral:lncRNA from 1 species